rnacentral:rRNA from 1 species
GCAAGGACAUGUGGAGCGCUUAGAAGUGAGAAUGCCGGUGUGAGUAGCGAAAGACGGGUGAGAAUCCCGUCCACCGAUUGACUAAGGUUUCCAGAGGAAGGCUCGUCCGCUCUGGGUUAGUCGGGUCCUAAGCUGAGGCCGACAGGCGUAGGCGAUGGAUAACAGGUUGAUAUUCCUGUACCACCUAGCAUCGUUUUAAUCGAUGGGGGGACGCAGUAGGAUAGGCGAAGCGUACGAUUGGAUUGUACGUCUAAGCAGUGAGAUUGAGUGUUAGGCAAAUCCGGCACUCUUAAGAUUGAGCUGUGAUGGGGAGAGGAAAUUGUUUCCUCGAGUCGUUGAUUUCACACUGCCGAGAAAAGCCUCUAGAUAGAUAAUAGGUGCCCGUACCGCAAACCGACACAGGUAGUCAAGAUGAGAAUUCUAAGGUGAGCGAGCGAACUCUCGUUAAGGAACUCGGCAAAAUGACCCCGUAACUUCGGGAGAAGGGGUGCUCUUUAGGGUGCAAGCCCAGAAGAGCCGCAGUGAAUAGGCCCAAGCGACUGUUUAUCAAAAACACAGGUCUCUGCUAAACCGUAAGGUGAUGUAUAGGGGCUGACGCCUGCCCGGUGCUGGAAGGUUAAGAGGAGUGGUUAGCUUCUGCGAAGCUACGAAUCGAAGCCCCAGUAAACGGCGGCCGUAACUAUAACGGUCCUAAGGUAGCGAAAUUCCUUGUCGGGUAAGUUCCGACCCGCACGAAAGGCGUAACGAUUUGGGCACUGUCUCAACGAGAGACUCGGUGAAAUCAUAGUACCUGUGAAGAUGCAGGUUACCCGCGACAGGACGGAAAGACCCCGUGGAGCUUUACUGUAGCCUGAUAUUGAAAUUCGGCACAGCUUGUACAGGAUAGGUAGGAGCCUUUGAAACGUGAGCGCUAGCUUACGUGGAGGCG